rnacentral:rRNA from 1 species
GUGGGGAAUAUUGGACAAUGGGCGCAAGCCUGAUCCAGCCAUGCCGCGUGAGUGAUGAAGGUCUUAGGAUUGUAAAGCUCUUUCACCGGUGAAGAUAAUGACGGUAACCGGAGAAGAAGCCCCGGCUAACUUCGUGCCAGCAGCCGCGGUAAUACGAAGGGGGCUAGCGUUGUUCGGAUUUACUGGGCGUAAAGCGCACGUAGGCGGAUCGUUAAGUCGGGGGUGAAAUCCUGGAGCUCAACUCCAGAACUGCCUUCGAUACUGGCGAUCUUGAGUCCGGAAGAGGUGAGUGGAACUCCUAGUGUAGAGGUGGAAUUCGUAGAUAGUAGGAAGAACACCAGUGGCGAAGGCGGCUCACUGGUCCGGUACUGACGCUGAGGUGCGAAAGCGUGGGGAGCAAACAGGAUUAGAUACCCGUGUAGUCC